CGUGAGUGAAGAARGSUUUCRGCUCGUAAAGCUCUGUUGUUAAAGAAGAACACKGWUGAGAGUAACUGUUCAUACGUUGACGGUAUUUAACCAGAAAGUCACGGCUAACUACGUGCCAGCAGCCGCGGUAAUACGUAGGUGGCAAGCGUUAUCCGGAUUUAUUGGGCGUAAAGAGAGUGCAGGCGGUUUUCUAAGUCUGAUGUGAAAGCCUUCGGCUUAACCGGAGAAGUGCAUCGGAAACUGGAUAACUUGAGUGCAGAAGAGGGUAGUGGAACUCCAUGUGUAGCGGUGAAAU
rnacentral:rRNA from 1 species